rnacentral:rRNA from 1 species
UACGUAGGGUGCAAGCGUUAAUCGGAAUUACUGGGCGUAAAGCGUGCGCAGGCGGUUUUGUAAGUUUGUCGUGAAAGCCCCGGGUUCAACCUGGGAAUUGCGAUGAAGACUGCAAGGCUUGAAUCUGGCAGAGGGGGGUAGAAUUCCACGUGUAGCAGUGAAAUGCGUAGAGAUGUGGAGGAACACCGAUGGCGAAGGCAGCCCCCUGGGUCAAGAUUGACGCUCAUGCACGAAAGCGUGGGGAGCAAACAGG